AGAGUUUGAUCCUGGCUCAGAUUGAACGCUGGCGGAAUGCUUUACACAUGCAAGUCGAGCGGCAGCGCGGGGGCAACCCUGGCGGCGAGCGGCGAACGGGUGAGUAACAUAUCGGAACGUACCCCGUCGUGGGGGGAUAACACAGCGAAAGCUGUGCUAAUACCGCAUACGACCUGAGGGUGAAAGCGGGGGAUCGCAAGACCUCGCGCGAUGGGAGCGGCCGAUAUCGGAUUAGCUUGUUGGUGAGGUAAAGGCUCACCAAGGCGACGAUCCGUAGCUGGUCUGAGAGGACGACCAGCCACACUGGAACUGAGACACGGUCCAGACUCCUACGGGAGGCAGCAGUGGGGAAUUUUGGACAAUGGGGCAACCCUGAUCCAGCCAUUCCGCGUGAGUGAAGAAGGCCUUCGGGUUGUAAAGCUCUUUCAGCAGGAACGAAACGGUGGCCACUAAUACUGGCUACUAAUGACGGUACCUGAAGAAGAAGCACCGGCUAACUACGUG
rnacentral:rRNA from 1 species